UAAAAAGUCAAGCCUAAUCCAGCACUGCGCGAUCGAACCAAGCGUGUAGCUGGAGCGGAGGAACCAAUUUUCGGGGCGAAUCUCUACUGAAUUAAAAAGCAAAGUUAAAAAUUGCCAAAUUAUGAGUGUAAUUUUUGAUUUUGAAAUUUAAGGAGAAGGACAUCUCUCAGUCCUAGCCCGUCAGCUAACUUCGCAGGCAUUGAGAAGAGACUGA
rnacentral:sRNA from 2 species